rnacentral:rRNA from 1 species
CCGCCAGAGAACUACAAGUGAAAAACUUAAAACUCAAAGGACUUGGCGGUGUCCCACACCGAUCUAGAGGAGCCUGUCCUAUAAUCGAUACCCCCCGCUUAACCUAACCUUAGCUGGCCCUUUCAGCCUAUAUACCGCCGUCGACAGUCUACCCCAUGAGGGUAUAAUAGUAGACACAAUAGCUCCCCGCUAACACGUCAGGUCAAGGUGUAGCACAUGCUAAGGAAGAGAUUGGCUACAUUUUUUCCCUUAAAAAUUACGAAAUGCACAAUGAAAUCCUGCAUAAAGGUGAAUUUAGCAGUAAACU